rnacentral:lncRNA from 1 species
GCCACCUCAGGGGAAGCAACAGAUCGUCACUCGGUGUUCUCACCGAAAGCACGUAAUCGCCGGUGUAACUCAUGUUGGCUGGGGGGCCUCCCGGCGCGCGCGGAGAGGCUGGGGUGCGCCCCCAUGCAGCAUGCUUGUGCUCAAUUGCAGGGUCCUCGUUCUCGAGUGUGCAGAGGGCGGUGAGAGCUCAACUCUCGUCCCCACCUCCCACCCGCAGCUCCCCGGGUGGGUGAGGGAUGCCCUGGACUGGGGAUAGCCAGGUGGGAGUCCGUCGCUGUGUGGCCUGUGGUCUCGGAGUCUGUUCUCCUGGAGUCUCGCAUUUGCACCCCCUUCUUCGCAGUCCCCCUCCCAUAGACUUGCUCUGGGAAGCGCCUCUGCCUCCGACCCUAGCCGGAACCCCUUCGGGGCCAGAGUUUGAAGCCGUGGAUGUGCCUGCCUGGUGGCUUGUCCGAUUUGCACGGUGACUUGAUUACACUCUCUCAUUCAUGGUCACUUCCGAAGCGCUUUAGUGCCUUCCGUCCCUAAACCGCCAACAGCCAGAACGGCUUCUCCCCGCGGUUUGUCACUGAUCCGCAGGGCCCGGAAGGGCCUUCGUCUUACCCGGGAUCCACCUCUCCCCUCAUCUUCCCUGCCUACCUCUUCAUCCCACCUUCUGUCCUUGGAGAAACUCCCUCCUCCUCGCUGCCUGCCGGGCUUCGGAGUGACUCGGCAGAGACAGAGGCACAGGGGCUGCCCUGCUGCUCACCGGUCCACCCAUCUGCCUGGUCUUCUGGAGCUGAGGACUCGGGAAACCAUGCAAUUGAGGCAAGCCUUGGGCUGCUUUAGAGGCGCUGACAUCCGAGGAGACUUCUCCUGGGAGGUCCAACAGCCGAGCUUAGCCCACCGGGCUCUGGGAAAGACCCGACUGAGGCUAAAGCCGCCCCGGAAGGCCAAGUCCGAGUUCCAUUUCUUGAAGAGGCCGGCGCGCGUAAGGCUGUGACAUUGGCCCUGGCGACUGGCUUCCCAGGAGCUGUUCUUUCUCAGGAGCUCCACAGCGCGGGCCAUCUCCAGAAAACUGUCUUCAGAGUGUAUUUCCUUUUAUCGUCAACCCAGAGCCCCACCGCGGCUAAUGCAAGAGGCCAAAAAAUGUUUGGAGGAAGAAAAACAAAGGCAGGAAGUGGCGGCGGCCUGACGGUGCGUGUGUGUCUGCAGAGAAGGGAGGGAGCCGGCUCAGUCUCUUCUUGUUUUUCCAAACUUCAAGGUCCAGGCAGCCCUCUGCAGGGCCGGGCCCCAUUGCUCCCCGCGCGGCAUUGGAGGUGGCCGCCCGGAGAGGAGAAGGCCAACGCCUGCGCCAGGCUUGUCAGGCGGAAACGGCUAACAAGGAGAUUUGGUCAGCAAAACAGACCCAGCCUUUCCGAGGCUUCGUCUGACUUGGCCCGAAAGGUUGGGGAGGGGGGGCUUGCGCAGAGCCUCAGGGACCCUCCUCUCUGGGGACUACCAUCCCUGAGCCUUACGCUUCUUUCCACAGCCUUUGCAGGCGGAAUAUCGGAAUAAAGUGGGUCCAGGCGCCAAAAAAAAAAAAAAAAAAAAAAAAAAAAAAAAAAAAAAAAAAAAAAAAAAAAAAAAAAAAAAAAAAAAAAAAAAAAAAA